UUCUACAGCCAUGCCACCUUGAAUGUGUCCGAUCUCGUCUGAUUUCAGAAGCUAAGCAGGUUGGGCCUGGUUAGUACUUGGAUGGGAGACCACCUAGGAAUACCAGGUGCUGUAGGUG
rnacentral:rRNA from 1 species